GUGGGAAGUCCAGAAGGCUGACUCGGACUCUAAAAUGCAGCAGAACCUGUGGCGACCACAGCCACCCAACAGCAAAAGAGGCGGCAGAGGCUGGGCCAUUAACUCCCCUGCUGAUCCCUAUCCAUGGAGCCCAUUGACAGAUGAGUUUGGUUCUGGACCUAAGAAGGACAGUUACAGACACAGAUACCAUUUAACCCUGCCCAUCCCUCGGCACACAUCUCAAAGAGGAACUGCCCCAUGAAGCAUUCCUGAUCCCCAGCCAGGUGUGAUGGUCUGUCCUGCGAGCCCCCCACAACCCUACCACAACAUUCCUGGGCAUAUCAUCCCACUCACAAGGAGGAUUCUUCUAGUGUUUAUGAAGGCAGGGUUGGGCAAGACCCGAGAAGUGAGGAGCUAACAGACGGCUCUCCCCCAAGGCUGGUAUGCCCUCCUGCAGCAUGGCUGCCAACUAGCCCCCCAGCCUCGGCUGCAACAGCCCCACCCAUGGGGAGCUAACAGCACUGCUCUUAGACAGCGGCGUCCGUGGGGCACUUUCCUUAGACCUACAUCCUCCCUCCCAGCCCAGUUCCACCUCUUUGGUCUGCACAGAAUGAAUCUGCUUCCUUCCCCAGGUAGCCCCCUUCGGAUAUCUGGGACAGCUCUCGUGUCCUGUUGUGUCUUUCUCCAGUGUACACGUUCUAGGCUCUCACAGUGUUUUUCACUUCGUCCCAGCAAGGCUAUUGUUUUUAAGUGCUCUUGAAAGAACCUUCUCUGCAAGGUCAAAUAGAAAUGAGUAGUCAAGUUAGCACUGACCCGACCCCUCGCUGCAUCUCAGCAAGAGCAAAUACUUUCACAUCUCUCCAGCGGUGCAGAAAUAACUGGCAAGAGUCACACCCUGAACUCUCCUCUCUACACCAUCGCAUGUCAGUGGAACCAUAAGCCUCAAGACCUGAGUUCCAGUUCGUCCUCUGCCACUUACUAAUGUGAUCUUGGCAAGUCAUGUAUUCUCUCUGGGACUCAUCUUCUGCAUCUGUAAAAUGGGGAUUAAAAACUCUGUGUCCCG
rnacentral:lncRNA from 1 species